CCUACGGGUGGCAGCAGUGUGGAAUAUUGGUCAAUGGGCGCUAGCCUGAACCAGCCAAGUAGCGUGAAGGAUGACUGCCCUAUGGGUUGUAAACUUCUUUUAUAUGGGAAUAAAGUGCAGUAUGUAUACUGCUUUGCGUGUACCUUAUGAAUAAAGAUCGGCCAACUCCGUGCCAGCAGCCGCGGUAAUACGGAGGAUACGAGCGUUAGCCGGAUUUAUUGGGUUUAAAGGGAGCGUAGGCGGGUUGUUAAGUAUGUUGUGAAAGUUUGCGGCUCAACCGUAAAAUUGCAGUUGAUACUGGCAUCCCUGAGGUCAGUAGGGGUAGGCGGCAUUCGGGGUGUAGCGGGGAA
rnacentral:rRNA from 1 species